ACUACUUGAAUCCCUGAAAUCACUAUCACUGUCAUCACCCAGUCUCCUGUCAUAAAUGGGUCCAAUCAGCUCUGCUGUAUUAGUGCCAGCCUAAUAAAAACAAACAGGAAGAAAGGGAAGAAAAAACAACCAAAUGCUUAAUCCAAAACUACAGCAGCCUAAAAAUGUACAGAUACGAGGAGAAGAACAAGAACAAGAAGGGGGUGCAGGAGGGAGGGGUAAGCGGCCCAUCUGACCCAUAAGACUCAACCUAUAUCUCAGAGGAAUUAAAUCUCAGUCUCACUGAAUAAAUAGCCAUUUAUUAUGCUCAGCCACAUAUUAGGAAUUUUGUUAUCGUUCAGCAUAAUGAGUGAUCUUGUACACCUUGCAAAACAGUCGGUGAUGGCAGCAUUGCCGAGCCCAUUCAUUGAAGAUUAAGGCAUCAAAUUAAUUUUGAAGGUGAAAAUCAAUGGAAUCAAGAAUUUAUCAGAUGACAAAAAAUAAUUAAUGGGAUAUAGGAUUUCUCUUGGAUGUGGCUGGAGAUAGAAUUGAAUGCAAAAGGAAACAAGUAGAGAAACAAAAACCAUGCAGCAAUGUUAAUUGAUUGAGUCAAUGUCAUGUUAAGAUGGCAUGGAAUAUGAAAUCCUCUUUAGUGACCUGCCUUAGCAUUAUCACAAGCAAGCACACAAGCAGAAAGACCACAUAGUCACCUCUUGUUACAAUCUCAUUGCAAGAAAACUUGUGUACCA
rnacentral:misc_RNA from 1 species